AGAGUUUGAUCCUGGCUCAGGAUGAACGCUGGCGGUCUGCUUAACACAUGCAAGUCGAACGAAUCCCUUCGGGGAUUAGUGGCGGACGGGUGAGUAACGCGUGAGAAUCUACCAAAAGGACUGGGACAACCACUGGAAACGGUGGCUAAUACCGGAUGAGCCGCAACGUAAAAGAGGAAACUCGCCUUUUGAAGAGCUCGCGUCUGAUUAGCUAGUUGGUGAGGUAAAGGCUCACCAAGGCGGCGAUCAGUAGCUGGUCUGAGAGGAUGAUCAGCCACACUGGGACUGAGACACGGCCCAGACUCCUACGGGAGGCAGCAGUGGGGAAUUUUCCGCAAUGGGCGAAAGCCUGACGGAGCAAGACCGCGUGAGGGAGGAAGGCUCUUGGGUUGUAAACCUCUUUUGUCAGGGAAGAACACAAUGACGGUACCUGAAGAAUCAGCAUCGGCUAACUCCGUGCCAGCAGCCGCGGUAAUACGGAGGAUGCAAGCGUUAUCCGGAAUUAUUGGGCGUAAAGCGUCCGCAGGUGGCACUUCAAGUCUGCUGUCAAAGACCGGGGCUUAACCCUGGAAAGGCAGUGGAAACUGAAGCGCUAGAGUGUGGCAGGGGUAGAGGGAAUUCCCGGUGUAGCGGUGAAAUGCGUAGAGAUCGGGAAGAACAUCGGUGGCGAAAGCGCUCUACUGGGCCACAACUGACACUCAGGGACGAAAGCUAGGGGAGCGAAUGGGAUUAGAUACCCUAGUAGUCC
rnacentral:rRNA from 1 species